CCUCAGUUGCAGGAUUAAAGACCGGAAAUUUCUUGCCACUCACUGAACUAUGCCAUUCAUUGUUUAUGAAGAUCUGCAGAAGAGGAGAAAAGAAUAAAAAAUUCCCAGCCGAAGUGUCCAAGGUGUGCGACACAAUCCCAGUCCUCAAGUGACCUUAACCUCAGUAAAGAACUCUUAAAUAAAUAACUUAAAAUUGAAUCAAAGGACCUAGAAUCCAGUAGCUACAUAUGGGAUCAAUUUGUUGAACUUCUUUUGCUCAGUGACAUCUGCCAUCCCCGACACUUCAUUGUCACCUUCAGCAUGACUGGGCUUUCAGGAGUGGUCACUGCUUCUCACCUGUGCAAGCUCUAGGUUCUUCAGUACCCCUUGUGGAUUGUCUACCCUUCUGUAAAAAAUUCCUUCAUUAUAUCAUUUACAGAACUCCAGCCAGGAUUGAACCCAGGCCACAGCAGUGAAAGCACCGAAUCUUAACCACCAGACCAUCGGGGAACUCCCUUAAAUGUUAUAGCUAGGAUUCAUUCAUAUUGUUGCUUGUCACGUAGUUUCUUUAUUUUGACUGCUGGGUACUAUACUUUUCUGAUAAUAGUUUAUUCAUCCAGUCUUUGAUAAUGGGU